rnacentral:lncRNA from 1 species
CUGUGUACUGAUAAUCCGGUUUCCACCCAGUCCCAGGUAGGUUUGUCUGUUUUAUCUUCUUCACUAAAUGUUUUGCAUUAUAUUCCAAGCCAUACAAUCUGCAGUAUGAGACAUACGGCCGAAUCAAGUUUUUUUUUUAUUCUUGACAUCCUUGAAUAAAAGUCAUGUGGGUUUGGAACAACAAAGCAAACAAAAAGAUGCAAGACUGCAAACUUUCCAGUACUCCUGUGUACUGAUAAUCCGGUUUCCACCCAGUCCCAGGAGAUUAUAUUAAACCUGGAAAAUAUUGGAGAAGAUCAAUUAAGUUUUCAGGAGCACAUUACUGUGAUAAAUGCUGAACUACGUAAAAGAUAACCCGACUACACCAACAUAAAAAAUCGAAUGAAAUGCACUCUUUUUAAAAGAGUCGAUUUAAUGACAAAAUCAACACGAGAGGUCAUGGACAUGUUCCCAUUUCUUCGGGUUCCACAACUUCUGCUGCAUGAAGUGAAGAUGCGGUUUGGGAAGGACCUUCAUCUUAAUCUAGAGUCUGCUCUUCAAGUUCUGGCCCCAAACAUCUUAAAUGUGGCUAGACAUGGAAGUCAGAGGGAUGUGCUGAAGAGUUUACUACAGCAAACUGACACAAACACAAAAAAUCUGGAGAAAAAUGCCGCACUGCUAAUCUUACCAUCUUUAUUCAGAGAAAACAGCAAGUUUCUCUUCUGUCUGGACAAUGUAAGUUUUGAUAUGUCAUGUUUUUGUGUUGGUGGGGGUGGGUCGUGAGCUGGUGGGGGGGUUUCAGAAAAUUAUCUGAACUUUAGAGUUCCAAACUGUAUGACGUUCAUUGUGAUGAGCAGAUAUUUGAGAUGCCAUAAUUUUAAAGAAUUGACAGCCACGAUCACUUGAUUGCAUGUAGCUCUGUGAAUGUGACAACAAAAUUAAAUAAAAAUGUCUUGCUCUUGUAGAAGAAUGUUCUAAUAAAGAAUGUUUUACUCUUAUUGACAGUUGCUUUGUAAUAUCAGGAGAAAUACAAAGAUGUUAAAAAUGAGAGAGGGCUGCUCAGUUUCUCACAAAAACAUUUGCACAAUUUAAAUGAAAGACGUGGAGGCAAAAAACCACUGAUGCAUUUUUUUUGGCAACAGGCCUUUUAGAUCUAGCAUUCUGCAUGCUUUAAAUCAGAUACAGAAAUCAUGUAGCUUGAACGGAUUGCAUUUAUUUAAAUUAACAACAGAGAGAAAGUGAGAAACUGCAUGUGUGAAUAAUGUUUGUGUAGUGUCUCUUCAAUAAUCAAGCUGCAAGUUUAGUUAAAUCAAAAACAGAUACAUUGUUGCUUUUUAGUUUUUCAGUAUGCUAUCCAAGCUAUUUUAUUAAUGAAUAUUGCAUUGAUCUUGAAAAGAAGUUUCUGUGCUCAUGAUUGUUUCUGAGUUGUGUGUGCAACCUAGCCAGUGAAUUGGCCCUUACCACUGUGGUAAAAAAUGGUCAGUCACAUCCCUAAUUGUUUGGAAGAAAGUAUGCAAAGGCAGUUAAACAUGACUAAGGCUAUCAUUCUGCCUUUUGUUUUUCACCACAGAAAAGUCAUGCAAAUUUCAUCACUCAGACGAUGAAUUUUGUUGUAGCACUACCUGUUUAAACUCUCCAGACAGCCAAAAAAAAAAAACUAAUAACUUAGAUAUGUCAUGAAUAGUGCUAAUGUAAAUUUGUAAAUAUGAGGCGAUUGGUGUUAUUCUGAAAUGCUGAUCUGAAUUUGAAUCUGUAAUUACAAUUCUUUAUGAGUGAUAUUAAUGUAAAUUUGUAGAUUUGAAGUACUUGAUGUUCUGAAAUGCUGAUCUGAAUUUUAAUCUAUGUAUUCACAUUCUUUAUGAGUGAUAUUAAUGUGAAUUUGUAGAUUUGAAAAUACUUCUAUAUCUGUAUAUUUCCAUUGUGAGUUAUAUUAAUAUGGAUUUGUAGUUUUGAGGGACUUGAUGUUGUUCUAACACUGAUGGGAAUUUAGAUGAAUCUGUAUAUUUGCAUUAUUUAUUAGUGAUAGAUUGUAAUUUUGUACAUUUUAUGGACUUAUUUGUAAUUUGUAGAUGUAGGUGAAACUGUUUUCAUUAUUUAUGAGAUAUUUUUUUAAAUGGUUGAUGUUUUAAUGUUGAUUUGUACAUUUAAAGCCUUGAAUACUUGAAAUUACAGUAGCAUUCUUUCAGUAAUAGUCAUUAUUUUUGUUAAUAUAAAUAAAUUACUAGUUCUAUGCACUUUGGGUGUGCUUUUUUUUUCAGUAUUCAUGGGUGACUUUUUUAUGUGAAUUACAUUUUUACAUUUUAGGGUCUUGAUGUUUGUCAAUAAUAUGAAAUAUUUAAUCCGGAAAGGACAAAACAAAUGAUAAUGAAUGAACCCCUGAAAGGUUCCAUAUAGAACCUUUUUCCUGGUUACAAAGAACCCUAAAGGGUUCUUUUGAUUGAACCCUUAAAAAGGGUUCUUUAUAGAACCUUUUAGGGGUUCCAAAUACGUAGCGCCUGAUAGAACCUUUUAAGGUUCUAUAUAGAACCUUUUCUUCUAAGAGUGUACAGACGCUCCGCCUGUGUGGCCUGUGUCUGUACAUCGGUAUAAUUGAUUAUGAUGAGUGUAACUCUCAACAUAUGCCAGGCUCUUGGGCGCAGCACACAGGUUCAGCACCCUCGCUCAUGGACAGCGCCCUACAACUCGAGCUUUCAGGUCUAUUCCAAAAACAUCACUUUAUAAGUUAGAAACAAAAACAGGCGUUUUAUAGACUUUUUAUAGUGUCAUGUUUUUCCAAAACAACAGCAAAGUUUUAAAGUUAGAGUACGAGGAUGUGGUUUUCUUCAGUCUCAGACCCAACCUCCUCCAGAGAGUUUUAAAACAGCUGAAUGGUUGCUGUCUGUCGCUAGUGCGCGAACUGGCACCAGAGCAAUGAAUGACGACCGUACGCGUUCAGACCCGCCAGAUGCUGCGUGUUCUCUGAUAGCGUGUAUAGUCCAAAGGUAUACAGUUUUAAAGUAUAAGAGUAUUUUGGAAUGACAAUUCAUCAACAAGACAUAGCCCUUUCUCGCUCUCAUCAGCCCCUCUCGGCAGAUUCAGAUGGUUUGCACACAGACUCGAGGAUUAAUCUGCCAGCUGUCUCACAGCAGACAAAAAUGAGAUUGAUGCCUGCCAAAACAGAGAGAUCGCGCACAGAAAAUAAUUUCAAUGGCAGCACAGAGCAGAAACCUGACAGCCACCAACAACCCGGAACGAAAUCAUCUAAAUCAGAUGCAGGCGGAACGUUCUUUCAGUCAGCACGCGCUCCGCCGCAGAUGAGCAGCGCUGUUAAUUAAAGUACACAAGCGUAAAAUGUGGAAUAAAGAAAGCGCGUUCUGUAACUAAGUUUACAAAUAUGUAGGCAAUCAGUUCGCCUUGUCUUAUUCAUUUUGCUGCUACCAAAUUACUAUUUGUCAUUUGCAUGUGCCGUUUAUGCAAUAAGACAUAAUUUAGGCUCUUUAAGUUGUUAUAAUGAUGAGCCUCACGAAAUAUUUAUUUGCUUUUAGAUUGUAGCAAUUUAAUAAGGGCAGGUAAAUGCCUGUCACAAUCGACAGUCAAAAACAAAGAAAGGUGUUUGGAAAAUUGAAAGGAACAUUCACCCCAAAAUAUAAGUUCUGUCAUUUACCCACCCUCAUGUUAUUUUUGCUAUGAUAUUCAAAUAUUUGUAAAUGAGGCUCAAUAUACUAUUUUGGGGCACUUUGGUUAGUUUGAAUUUGCUAGUUAUUAUUCUGUAUAAAAUUCUGAGAGACAGUAAAGUAUUGGUUGUGGCUGUGUUUAAACUUUCAUCAUCAAUGUGCAAAGGCCUUGAGAUCCUUCUGGACCAGGCAAAUUAUUUUAAAAGUGCAUAAUAUUCAAGCAGAUAAAGAGAAAAGGAAGAGAAAGAGAAAGAAAUUGAGAAAAAGCUUUUCAGAACAUUUAUCAUGUUUAAUCUCAGGUGCAUGAGCAGUCUUUGACCUACAGGUUAACUUGACGAGUCAUUACUAAAAG